AUGAUCUACCAGGAACUGAAAGUUGUAAUAGCCCAUGUAACCGCAGGCGCUGGCGGUCCAGAACAGCGCGCACGGCACGCCGAGCUCCGCUGCGGCGUCCACCGCGAAGCUCAUGAUGCUGUCCGCGACGACGCACGUCACCGGCGGCGUCCCCGUCCCCGCUGCGCUGUUGUUGAGGCCGCCAAGCAGGCUCUUCAGGUGGGGGAGGCAGGUGGUCGUGGUGGAGUGGCAGAUGGACGCCUGGUCCUGGGUGGCGUCGGGGUCGGACGGCGGCAGGCCGUCGGGGAUGGUGGCGAAGCGGAAGUCCGGGAGGCCCGCGACGGCGCCGGCGCCGCGGGAGCGGACGAGGCGCCGGUGGUUGUGCUCGGUGUAGACGAAGGUGAUGUGGAAGCCCCUGCAGUGGAGGACCUUGGCCAGCUUCAUCAUCGGGGUGGCGUGGCCCUGCGCCGGGUACGGGACGCACACCGCGUGGGGCUUGCCGUCGGCGCGCAUGUCGUCGCCGGGAUGGUGGCGAUGCAGAUCGAGACUCUGGUUUUCUGGCAGGAAAGAAAAGAAAUUCAAGCUUACGUACGGUACAGAGUGAGUGGGAAUACUAAUCAGUGCGUGGGCAGCGUGGACAGGGACAGGAUAACUCCUUGGUGGUUAGCAUUCACCAUUCAGUGUACUGUAGCGCUAGUUCUUGGCACGUGA
rnacentral:rRNA from 1 species